rnacentral:RNase_P_RNA from 1 species
GGAGGCGGCAGCUCAUCAAUGGGGCCACACGCUGAGCGGUUAUUCCCUGGCCCCUCGGAAGGUCUAAGACUGGGGCCUCCUGCGACCCUGACCAGGCUCUCCCUGAGUGGCGAGGUGAGUUUUCAGAGACCAGGGCUCCUUGUGUGUGCAGACUAGGCAGAAAUGCAGAAGGCUGGCCCCUACUUCAGCAACAACAGAUUCAUUUCUGCAUUUAACACAGCGUGUGUAGGAUGCUAGUUUGGAAGGCUCGGUUCUGAUUUUAAGUCUCCACUGAGAGGUCACCUCU